AUGAAUACAGUCUAAAAUCCAAUGGCAUCAUCUACUUGAAUGCUGGAGAGCAAACGAGAAUCCUGCCCAUACUCUUCAUAAUCACUAAACUUCAUGAGUGCUUGUUACUUGGCAAUAUUCUUGUUUGCUGUUCUUCUUACCUUGCGGCCCUCAAAGGGUUUUUGCCUGAAAGUCUAAAAUUGAUUUAUUAGUACCCAGGAAAUAGCAUUCACCUAUUUUCCCAAAGUCAGAGGCAGUUACCUAGCAGCGAUUCCUCCCUGCCGCAGGUUGGACACCCGUGGCUUGCCAUCCUUGUCAAUUCCUCCGGACACUGUCAGACCCAGGGUGGUGCCUUCCUUCUUCAUCAAUUCAACCACAGUGGAGCCCUUGAAUUCCUCUGUAGGAGAGAAGAGGUGGUUAGAAAGGGAGGAACCUGCUUCUGGAGUUUGCUUUCAGCUAACCUCCAUUCUCUGCUCAGAUGCAGAAUCACUUCCUUGAAUCUGCACAGUUAUCUUGGAACCAGGAAGAUCUCCAGCACAGAACCUGACCUCUGAUCUGCACACAGAGACAAAGAACUGCAGUGGCCCAGAACAUCUGGUCAACCUUGUGAAAGUGGUCCAUGGAAACCACGCUGCUUGGCAAUGUCUGCAGGCCUUUGGAAGACUAAUAUCUCUAGCCAGGUUAAUUUGUAAAUCCUCUUUGAAAGUAAUGAGCAUGAAAUUGCACAUUUCCUGCCUCUGGCA